GACGGAGGGUGCAAGCGUUGCUCGGAAUCACUGGGCGUAAAGGGUGCGUAGGCGGUCUCGCAAGUCUGGCGUGAAAGCCCAAGGCUCAGCCUUGGAAGUGCGCUCGAAACGGCGAGGCUGGAGUGCCGGAGGGGAGAGUGGAAUUCCCGGUGUAGCGGUGAAAUGCGUAGAGAUCGGGAGGAAUACCGGUGGCGAAGGCGGGUUGCUGGGCUGACACUGACGCUGAUGCGCGAAAGCCAGGGGAGCGAACGGG
rnacentral:rRNA from 1 species